AGUAGGGUAAGUUAUUUUAAACUCCUGGGCCCAUACCCCAACAAAGCAGGUUAAACUCCCGCCUCUACUA
rnacentral:tRNA from 1 species